rnacentral:lncRNA from 1 species
GCAUGGUAAUAGCAAUUAGCAUAAUAAUAAAUUUUAUUUAAUUUGAAAGACAGUCUCAAAACAAUUGAAACUUACAAGCCUAUAUAUAUAAUACAACUAAUUCUGAUAAUAUAACAACCAUUUCUAGUCGUUUUAUUCUCAGGUCCCUACGGACUAUAAAAAGCCCUCAUCCUCAUUUUAAGGGAUGUCACUCUCUAUAAAUAAUAAAAUAAUAUAAACAAAAGAAUAUUUAAAUAUAAUGCAUCAUAUCCAAGGUUUUAAAUUUCGGUUUGCAACCACAAAAGUCGCCACAACAUGAUUUUGUAGGUCUUAGGAGUCUUUGUGAUCACAUUGGUCAUAUGUUUCCAUAGUAAUCCACAAUUUUAAAAUGUUGAAUAUCCCCGCAAUUGGUACUGCGACCAUAAUUUAAAAGAUUGAUUUUGCAGCUGUACAAGUAGGAGCUUUCCCUGAAAUUUUAGGGCUAACAUUAGCGCAUACGGCAACCGUGGGAGCUCCCUUGUAUGUGAGGUUAAUAUCACUAAGCUCCACGCCUUGACAUGGUACACUCUUGCUGCAUAGAAGUAUCACCCCUUCCUUAGUUGCUGAAGUGCCCUUGAUGUUUUUAAAGUAGACCUUGCUUAUCUUAACUUUGGAUGGGCUCUAAAGCAUUACAAGCAUACACAAAUCAGAAGAUUAUAACAUGUAUGUCCUUAUAGGAUUAAAGAAAACAUAAAGUUUAAUGAAAGGAAUGGAUGAAGCUAUAUCUAAGUUUAGUAAAAUGAAUUAGAUACCUUUUUUGAGCACUCAUUCCAAGGACAAUAUUCUUGGUCUAUAAUGAUUGGGUUGGCUACAUUAACCAUGGUAAUAUCUUCAAAACGCAUAUUAGUGACAGUAAUUGAUACAGGGGUGCUAGGCCAGCUCUUGAUUCUCACACCAUUAUCUGCAUUUUUUAUAGUGACAUUCUUUACUAGAAAAUCAUCAAUAUUGUCUUCAUUAUCAUAUAACCCAAGGCUUCCAACACUGAUGCCAUGUCCUGGUCCACAUUCGACAUUUUUGACAACUAGUCGAGUGUUGCCAUCACCUAAUGACACACAAUCAUCUCCGGUAGCAAUUUUGGUGUUAAGAAUUUUCACAUUAUUUGAUCUACCAAUGUGGAUCCCAUCAGUGUUGGCGCUAUCAUGAGGAGCACUCACCUUAAACCCAUCAAAUGUAAAGUUAUUGCAUGCCAAAACAUUGACAUGGAAGUAUUUACUGUCCUUGGAAGUUAUAUCCCGAACGACGGAAUGAUUUAGGAAAUUAAAACCAAGAUUCUGCACAAGAAAUUUAAUUCAUUAAAAGUUCUAUUUGGCAACUACGGAUGUGUGUAUGUUAAAUAAGUAAUUUACCAUUGCACGCCUCGCACAACUCUUGUUAGAUCCACAUUUAUUUUGUUUCCAGGCAGUUGCACCUUGACCAUCAAAAAUACCAUGACCUGAUAAGGUGAAAUGGGAAACAUAUCCAAUAGUAACCCAUUGCUCAGCCCCCUUAAGUUGACUGGGGUCUGCUGGUGCUUGAAUUGUACCAUCAACCUGAAUUUCAAUGGGAGCCUUACAAGGACCUUUUACCUCAACUCCACUCAUCUUGUAAGUCCCCUUAGGAAUCACAAUUUUGACGUUACUUGUUGCUGCACAUGCUUCUUUCCAAGCAUUUGUGAAAGCCUUCAAAGACCAUACAUACAAAUUAGUUAAAAAGUAAGUAAAUACAAUAAUAAUAAUCGAUAAAAAAUCAGCUUAGUUACUUGUGUUAUAUCUCCAUUUUGUGCUCCAAAUUUUUUUAUAUCAAUGGUAACUGAUUGAGCUUUGUAGAUCACAGCCAACGACAAGAUGAAUGAAAACAACGUUACGAUACUAAACUUCAAAGCCAUGUUGAUUAUUAAUAAACUCUGUCUUGUUGUACUUUUUGUGUGGAUGGAUGUGUUUAUUUUGAAAGUACAGUGAAAUACUAUUUAUAAUGGAGUUGUGAUGCUUCAAAACCAUUAACAACAUGAGAAACUUAAGUGUGUCCGUGGAUGGAAUUGACUGAGCCCAUUAUCUAUUGUUAGCAAUUAUAUUAUUAUCACUCAUAUUUAACCAAGAUAUACUAUAAUAAGCUUUAAGAUGAUAUGUUCAACAAUCGUUUUUCUGACAUCAAACAUUAAUCUUGUGUGGUUAAGAAAAGGCUACAUACUACAAUUAACCACUGAAAUACUUAUUGAAUAGAUAUAUCAUAGAUAAUGAAAGAGAAGAUGGUGAGUGUACUAAUUCACAUGGAAAAUUAGUACAAGCAGAACCAAUAGUAUGAAAAUAAUUAUCUCAGAGAAGGCAACCAACAAUACACAAAACCAUGAGGCAAGAUGUAGGACCUUCAAAUAGACAAAUGUGAUACCAAGAUAUCAACCUCCACAACAUGAUAAAUAUUCUAAGAUAGAAGAUACUCUAAACUAAUUCAUGCAAUUAACAAGGAUAAAUCAUAAAAGUACAAAUACAUAUGUAAAAAACCUAGAGGUUUAGGUAGGACAACUAGCCAAGUUAUUGUCAAAAAGUCAACGAGGCACAUCCAACGCUAACAUUGAACCAAAUCCCAAGUAAAAGUGCAACACCAUCACAACAAGAGGUGGAAAAAUGGUUGGUUAGGAUGUUGAUAACCAUAUUGUUGGGUCUCACACGACUCUAUACUUCAUUUGGGGGUGAAUAGGUGAUGCGGUAUACAAUUAUCGUUGCUCGAAUAACAAUUAUUUUUACAACUUUCCUCAUAGUUUAGAAUAUUAAUUAAUGACUUAAUUGAUUAAUUACUUCUGCAUAUAAUCUAUUAUCUGAAAAACCUAAUCGAUUAUUCAGUUCUUGUUCUUUGAAAAACAAUUUUCUUUGAUAUCUAAGAUUACCAAGAUUAAAUUAAACUUAUACACACUCUUACAAAUGAUUAAACAUAGUAAAUGCACAUAACGAAAUAUGAAAAUAAAUAUGAAUAAUAUGCAUAUGAAGUUAAGUAAAUCAAGUAAUAUGUAAAUGUAAAAAGUUAAGGGUUAAGAAGAAUGAGACACAAAUUUUAUCUUGGUUCGUUUGCUUGUCCACGUGAAAACUACAUCUAGGUCACCCCUUCUGAUUUUGAGAGAUUUUUCUUUACUAUAAAAUUGAAACCAAUGUAUUUACAAACACACUUUCAAAUUUGACACUACUACAAGUAGGGGCGUAAGUGGUUCUAGUUUAAACCGUAAAACCGAUGGAACCAAACUGAACUACAAAAUGUGGUUUAGUUCAAUUUCGCAGUUCGGUUCAGCUUUUUUAUUUGGAACCAUUUAAGUUUGGUUUGAUUCACGGGUUUGGAAAUUUUUGAACCAUUGGAACCGAAUCGAACUACAUAUUAAUUUUUUUUUUAUAUUUGGAUGAUUAGGAUUUAAAGUUAGGAGAUAAAAUAUGAUUAAUAAUUUAGGAUUAUUAAUACAUAUAGGCCAUAAAAAGAGGCAAAUAGAAAAAAAAAUAUUAAUAAAAAAACCUAAAAACCUAUUAUCUCUACUGUCCAUUGAGAAGAUAGAAAGAAAACUAAAAAAUUAGUGUACAUUGUAUCACUAUCCAGAGAUGAAAUUAAUUAAAUAAAGAAAUUAAAGAACUAAAAGAAAAUAAAGAAAGAAUUUGAGGACAUUACUGAUGAUGUGGAUUAGUAGGUGUUACUUUUGGCCUAAAGAAUUGAUACUAAGUUUGUUUUUCUUAAAUUUUGUAGGACAUUGUCGAAGAUUUUGAGGACUAAAAUUUCAAGUUUGUAGUGUGCUGAGUUGUUGAAUUAUUAUUGUUUUACUAGAAAGAGUAUUGAAUUAAUAUUGAAUAAUUUAUUAUUGAUAUGUUUAGUAUUCAUUUAGUUCACUCUAUACUUUGCAAAUUUUGUUUAAAUAUUUCUUGAAAGAUUUUUUUUUUAAAUAAGUUGAAAAACUGCAGAACCGAACCGAACCGUUAAUGGACGAUUCAGUUCGGUUUGGUUUUUAUAUAAAAUUUGCGGUUAAUCGAGUAGAACUGAACCAUAUCUUUGUAUUCGGUCAUUACGUUGCGUCAAAAAACAGAACUGAACUUUUAUACCACUAUCUACAAGCGCUCAUUUAUUGAACUCUAAGCCAUGCAAUGUUACUUAACCUUCUCUUGCCUCUUUCAGAACGUCACCUACUCGCGAUUUGUCCCAGCUCAUUCUUGCUUCUCUUUAAGACCCUUGUAUAAUCAGUGAAGACAACUAUGUAACUGCAGGUAGGAGUUUCCCAAACUUUUCCUUUAUCAAUAAUGAUACUAAACACGCCAAGAGAAUAUGUUUAUGCCAAUGUCUAUACUUAAUAACUUGUUGCACCUAUGUGUGUUGAAUAUACACUAUUCCAGAAUCUAAGAACACUUCUACAAGUCUCACAAACUCAAAAUAUAGAAAUGUGAAAUGCAAAGUUUCUCUGCAAGAUUUAACAAUUAUGCUUCUUUGAAAUUUUUUCUAAAGAUUCAUAAAGAUUCUCCUUUUUCUCUCUUUUUAAAAAACAAUUUGAAAAUCUCUCUUUUGAUAUGAAAGUGUAUGAGCAUUGUGAUUUUUGAAAAUAUGUGUAAUCAAAAUUUUGUGUGUAGUUCGUUAUGAGAAAAAUGGAAAAAACUUGGGCUAAUAUACAAUUCUGUUUUCUAGUGCAGGUAAUCGAUUAUCACUCCCUUUUAAUCGAUUAAUGGGUUAAAUCCAAAAUCUGUAACUAACAUUAAUGGAUUAAAUCCACACUUAAUCGAUUAAUGAGUUCCCAAUUUUUCAUUCCUUAAUCGAUUAAAAUAACUCUUAAUCGAUUACCGGGUUUUCGAAAAAGAUAUUUCAACGUGAUAUGAACCUCCUACAUGAUUUGCAGAAAUAUGAUGCAUGACUUUGAAUGAUGUAUGAUUUAAAAACUCUAUUAAAUGCGUCAAAAUCAUUUGAUCUUGUAUUUAUGAAUGUGUAUGAAAAUCAUGUAUGUAUGCAAGUAAGUCUCAAUUUAGUUAUGAUCGAUUUUAUAUUCCGAGACUUGCAUUAAGGUUCAUCCUAGCCUAGACUCUUUCUAAGCAAACAUCUUAAGACCUAAUAAAUAUAUAAAAACACUUAGCAUCUAGAUCUUCUUGAAUGUUUGAGCUUGAGUGAACUUGAGUUUUGACUUUUGAUUUUGUUGUUUGUUGAUUUGUUCACGCCUUCAAACUUUUCCUUGAUAUACAACAUUUGUCCUUGACUUUGUUGUUACUCUUUUGUCGUCAUCAAUCUUUGUUGUUGAUAUUUGUCUUUAUCAAACUCUAUCUUCAAUCUUUAUCUUCAUCAACCUUCGCCUUCAUUAAAAUCUAUAUGAUGCAUGCUUACAUAUACAAUAUGCACAUUGUUGCAUGCUUACAUAUACAAUAUGCACAUUGUUGCAUGCUUGCAUUUACACAUAUAGACCUUGAGCAAGGAAUUACUGAAAAAGAAAAAGCGAGUGAGGAAAGAGAGGAAAUGAUAGGAGUGAAGAAAUCAAUGAGUGACUAGAAUAAAAAGAGAGAAAUAGAAAUAAGAGAAGUUAAUGAAAAAAUAAAAAUAUAAAAAAAUAAAGAAAGUGUGAAUCAUAAUUCAUGGCCAAAUAAUGGAAAAUAAAAUGAGAAUAUAGUCCCUAUUGACUCAUGUUCGAAAAAGUAGGAUACGAUGUUAAAGUGGUAUAUGCAGUCAAAUAUUGUGUUGAUCUGUCUUAUCCAACUCUAUAAUCUUUGAGAUCACAUGAUCUGUCAAGCUAAUGACAUUGAAAAAAACACUCAUUGGGAGACAUUCCAGUGUUACUUGCACUUUCUUAUUUAUUUCAUUUUAGCAACUAUUUUUAAUGAUUUUCUAUAGUUUUUUUUUGGGUUUGUUUUGCAUUUUGCAAAAUGUCAUAUGAUUGAAGAAUGAGAGUUAUCAAAUACUCUUAUGAUCAUAUUGCUUGGCAUGGGGACAAUCCAACUUACAUGGCGGGGAUGAACUUUAGUGGCCAUCGUGCACAACAUGAGGAUAAAGAGAGGUUGAUACAUAAUACCUAACUAUAAUACUUGGAGAUGACUUCUUUGGCGGGGACAACUACUUUUGUCUCGAUCAGUAUGAAUAAUUUACAAUUCUAUCAUUUUAAUUUUUUUUGUUUUUAAUUUUCUAUUUUUAUUUAUCUGUAAUAAAUUGUGGUAUGAAUGCAUGCAUUAUGUUAGACUACUCAUUUUUGUGCUAGGAAAAUUGUUUGAGUCAACCAACAUGUUAACUUUGUUCUUGGUCUAUCAAUUAGCAUAACUAAACAUGAAAGAGAAUAGGACAAUAAAUUGUGUUGUUGUCUAUGAUUAAACUUUCUAGUUUGUGCAACCAUUUGUUAUGUGUGACUGUUGUGUGAUUAUAGUAAUACAUGAGUGAACACUCAUGAAAUUAUGUUAGCUCACACUUUGUUAGCACUUUUGAAUUUGUUUGUGUCUCUAAUUGUCUUGGUAAAUAUGAUGCAUUGAAAGAAUCAAUGUAGUUUAUAUCAUGAAAACCCGAUUAGGCCAAAUUUAAUAAUAUCCGUUCAUGAUUUAUCGUUUGCUCUCCUAUUGAGAAUAAGCAUUUCUUUGGUGAAUUAUAAUGAACCUGAGCAUAAAUAUAUUCAAAGAAAAAGGAAAAAAAAUAUCAUUCCUAUUAGGUUAAGAGAGCAUUUAUUGUGUAACAUCCAAGUUGGAGGGGGUGAAUUAAAUGUUGAAUAGUAAUCAUAAUGAGGUACUAAAUGUCCAUUCAUUCUUAAAUAAAAUCAAAACUUCUAAAAAAUGGGAGAGCUAAAAAGAAGAAGGGAUAUAAAAAGGUAAUAAAAUAAUUGUACAAAAGUUAGAUAAUCGUAAAAUGAGUUUGAAAUGUUGAGAGUGAAAAGGUACAUUAUGACCUCUCAACUUCAUAGGAACUUUAAUAUUUGAAAAUCAUGUUAUUUAUAGCCCAAACUCAUUACAACCUAAAGAAAGAAAUUAUUGAUCCAUGCUAAGAUUUUAUCAUUGAUAGGGUAGGAGACAUAUACCAAAUUUGAGAGAAACAAUUUCCAUUUUGACACACAUUAGAGAAACACUUUAAGUCUAGUUGUUUUAUUCUUAGUACCUACAGACUAUAAAAAGUCACUGUCCUCAUUUUAGGGAUGUUUGGUACUAUAUCUAAAACUAAUAAAAUAAUACAAAGAAAAUAAAAAUCAUGUAGAAUGCAACAUGUCCAAGGUUUGAAAUUUAGGUCUACAACCACAAUUGUCACUACAACAUUGAGGUUUUGUAGGUCUUGAGAGUCUGUGUGAUCACAUUGGUCAUAUUUUUCCGUAAUGAUCCACAAUAUUGAAGUAUUGGAUAUUCUCACAAUUGCUACUGCGACCACAAUUUAAAACUUUGAAUUGACGCCAAAUAAAACAUCUAGAUUGAUUAUGCUGCUGUACAAGUAGGAGCUUUCCCUGAAAUUUUCGGGCUGAAAUUAGUGCAUACGACAAUUGCUGGAGCUCCAUUGUAUGUGAGGUUAAUUUCACUAAGCUCCACGCCUUGACAUGGUACACUUCUACUACAUAGAAGUAUCACCCCUUCCUUAGUUGUUGAAGUGCCCUUGAUGUUUUUAAAGGAGACCUUGCUUAUCUUAACUUUGCGAGUCAUUUGGAAGCUUUGGGAUUUGAUGUUUCCAUUGUUACCACCGAGUGGUUGUGUUGGAAUUUUUUUGAAAUAAUGACGUUUUGAAGUGAAAUGAAAAAACUCACUAGUCCUACUUUGCUUGGAGAAGGGAAGUUGAAGGACUUUAUAAGCCUUAAGUUGCGGCCCAACAUUCUUUUUAAUAAAAUAUUUAUUUAUUAAUUAAUUUAUUUCAUAUUUGGGGCCUUUUGGGCUUGGACCGUGUGUUGACCAAGUCAACACACACAUGCAACAAGGAAAGAGCCGUUGGAGGAGAUCUCGGCCAUUAUGAUAGAGCCGUUGGUAAUAGAGCCGUUGGUAAUAGAGCCGUUGGUGAAAGAGUCGUUGGAGGCCACAUGCUAUAAAUAGAGGUCUCUUUCCCUCAUUAUAAUUCGUACCAAGUUGAAGGCGUACCUCUCAACUUCUCUUCCUCCCCCCUUAUAUUCUACCGACGCCUUUCCGGCAACCUUCUUCCUCUUACUUUCCAUGUCACUUGAGAAUAGGCACAAGCAGACAAAGUGGGAAUUUCGAGAACUAAUACUGGUAGUUAGUAUUGUGGAAAAAUAUUUGGCACGAGUAGCCAUAUUGUGGCAAUUCGAGAAUUGGCACUGAUAGCCACAUUAUCGGUGUAUUUGAGAGUGAUUCUUAUAGUGCACUAAGAAAUCAUAUAAUAGAGAACUGAGCUAUUUUAUCCUAGGGAUGGUGUGGUUGACAGUAUGCUUGUACAAUUUUAGCAGUACCACGAAACGUCUUAAAUAGAGUGACUUGUUCAUGACUCAACCAGUAACGAUUAUUUCGUACCAUUCAGAAUUGUUGCGAGCAACGAUAACAACAAUUUUAAGACAUUUCUACUACAAUGACAUUCGUAGAUAAUAUUACUGGACCGAACAACUAUUACCUGAACAAGCCAUUUCGGUUAGACGGGACAUAUUUUAAACGUUUGCAACAUAAGAAGGAAUUUUUCCUCACUAUGAGAAAGGUUGCUCACGUUCUGAAAACUGAUAUUCAGUGGUGUCAGAUGAUGCUGAAAAAGAGGAAAGGGAUAAACUAGCUAUUGAAAUAACUCUCUGGAAUGAAAGUUAUUCCUUGUGUAAGAACUUCAUUCUGAAUGAGUUAUCUGAUGAUUUCUAUGAUUACUACAUCACGUACAGGUCUGCCAAAUUAAUUUGGUAUGCGCUUGAAAAUAAAUAUGAUACUAAGGAAGCUGACACUAAAAAGUAUGUUGUUAGCCGCUACCUCAAGUAUCAGAUGGCUGAUGAUAAAUCAAUAGAGUCUCAGUCCCAUGAGAUAUAGAAAAUUACUCAUGAGAUCAUUUUAGGGGGUAUGUCCCUAGAUGAUCAAUUCGAAGUGACUGUCAUAAUUGAUAAACUGUCUCAUAGCUGGAAGGACUUCAAAAACUUUCUAAGGCAUAAGACCAAAGAAAUCUCUUUGGAAUCUCUGAUCACUCAUCUUCAUAUUGAAGAAGAGGCUCACAUGCAAGAUUAGAGAGAAGAGGUGUUGAUUGUCUCCAACAAUAGCACUAAUAAGAAAUUUUCAAAGUGUGGUUCUGAAGCCUUCUGCACUAAUUUCAAGAAUCAGAACCACAAUGAGAAUAAGGCUAAGAACAUCUAUCACAAUAAGAAUUGGAACCCUCAAAAGGUCCAAUAUGCUAAGCCACCUACUAAGAAUGACUCUGGAAACCUGUUCACCUGCUUCAAGUGUGGGAAACAAGGUCAUGUAAGACUAAGAUGGCAACUAGGGGAGGGUGAAUUAGUUGUUUAAAAACAAUGACAAAUUUUUCUACAAAAUUCAAGAGUUAAUAGCAGCGGAAAAGUUAUGCAGAAAAUAUCAAGUAAAUUUAAGGAGUUAAGGGGGAAGAGAGUACUCAAAGAUUUUAUACUGGUUCACCUUCUUGUCCACCGAAGGUUAUGUCCAGUAUUGUUGCAACACAAGAAAUUUAUUCACUAGAUAUUAAGAGUAGCAAUUACAAAUUCUCACCCUGAGAUUUCCUUGUACCUUACUCACUCUCUAAUACCUAUAUCACUCUUUGGAAAACAACAUAUCCAUGUGACUCUAUCCCCUUUCUUAUCAGACAUUGUGAAAGAAAGUAAUUCAACAAAUUGAAAUAAGAAAACUUUAACUAUGACAAUGAUCGCCUUUACAAGAUUAGAAACUAUGAACUCUUGCAAUCCAAUAACUCUUUAUACACUUUAGUACAUGCUCAGAAGGUUUGAAUGACUUUGAAAUAACACUUAAUGCAACUUCAGAAAAUAUAAUCUGAAAGCUAAGAAUAAGUUGCAAAAAACGCGGAACAAGUAUUUCAAAAAGUUUAGAUUUUGUAUGUGAAGUCAAAACAUAAUAAAACCAGUUUCAGUUUUGUAUGAUAAGUAUGAGGGCAAAACAUUAUGACACUACAUUAAUCAUAAAUUUAUCCUAUGUGACUUAACAUUAUGACACUACUCUAAGCCAAGCAAUGUGACUUAACAUUCUCCUGCCUAUUUCAUAUACCUCACAUACUCACAAUUUAUCCUAUCUCAUUCUUUCUUCUCUUCAAGACCUAUGUAUAAGCGGUGAAGAUAACUACCUAACUGCAGCUAGGAUUUUCUCAAACUUUUCCUCAAUCAAUGGUGAUACUAAACACACCAAGAUUAUAUUUUUAUGCCAAUGUGUAUACUUAACAAGUUGUUGCACCUAAGUGUGCUGCAUAUACACUAUUCCAGAAUCUAAGAAUCCUUCUACAAUUCUCACAAACUCAAAAUAUAGAAAUGUGAAGUGCAAGGUUUCUUUGCAAGAUUUGACAAUAAUGCUUCUUUGAAAUUUUUUCUAAAGAGUCAUAAAGAUUAUCCAUUUUCUCUCUUUUUCAAAAACACUUUGAAAAUCUCUCUUUUGAUAUGAAUGUGUAUGCGAAAUGUGAUUUUCGGAAAUAUGUGUAAUUAAAAUGUUGUGCGUUAUUGUUCGUUAUGAGCAAAAUGGAAAAAAACUUGGGUUAAUAUACAAUUCUGUUUUCUGGUGCAGGUAAUCGAUUAUACUCCAUUUAAUCAAUUAUUGAUUCUUUAAAAUUCAAGAAACUAGAAACUGUAACUAACAUUAAUCGAUUAAAUCCACACUUAAUCAAUUAAUGGGUUCCCAAUUUUUCAUUGCUUAAUCGAUUAAAAUAACUCUUAAUCGAUUAACAGGUUUUCGAUAACAGAUAUUUCAAUGUGAUAAAAACCUCCUACAUGAUUUGUAGAAAUAUGAUGCAUGACUAUGAAUGAUGUAUGAUUUGAAAACUGUUUUAAAUGCAUCAAAAUCAUAUGAUCAUGUAUUUAUACAUGUGUAUGAAAAUCAUGUAUGUAUGCGUGUAAGUCUCAUUUUAGUUAUGAUCGAUUUUAUGUUCUGAGACUUCCAUUAAGGUUCAUCCUAACCUAGACUCUUUCUAAACAAACAUCUUAAGACCUAAUAAAGAUAUAAAAACACUAAGCCUUUAGAUCUUCUUGAAUGUUUGAGCUUAAGUGAACUUGAAUUUUGACUUUUGACUUUGUUGUUGACUUUGUUGUUUGUUGAUUUGUUCACGCCUUCAAACUUUUCCUUGAUAUACAACAUUUGUCAUUGACUUUGUUGUUACUCUUUUUUCUUCAUCAAUCUUUGUUGUUGAUCUUUGUCUUUAUCAAACUCUAUCUUCAUCAACCUUUGCCUUUAUCAAAAUCUAUAUGAUGCAUGCUUACAUAUAAAAUUUGCUCAUUUUUGCAUGUUUGCAUUUACACAUAUAGCCCAUGAGCAAGGAAUUAUUGAAAAAUAAAAAGCUAGUGAGGAAAGAGAGGAAAUGAUAGGUGAGAAGAAAUCAUUGAGUGAUAAGAAUAAAAAGAGAAAAAAGAAAUAAUAGAAGUUAAUGAAAAAAAUAUAAAAAAAUAAAGAAAGUGUGAAUCAUAAUUCAUGGCCAAAUAAUAGAAAAUAAAAUAAGAAUAGAGUCCCUAUUGACUCAUGUUCGAAAAAGUGGGAUACAAUGUUAAAAAUGGUAUAAGCAGUCAAAUAUUGUGUUCAUCUGUCUUAUCCAACUGUAUAAUCUUUGAGGUCACAUGAUCUGUUAAGCUAAUGACAUUAAAAAAAUACUUGUUGGGAGACAUUCCAGUUUUACUAAUACUUUCUUAUUUAUUUCAUUUUAGCAACUACUUUCAAUAUUUUUCUGUAGUUGUUUUGUUUGUUUUUCAUAUUGGAAAAUGUCAUAUGAUUGAAGAAUGAGAGUUACCAAAUACACUUAUGCUCAUAUUGCUUGGCAUGGGGACAAUCCAACUUACCCGGUGGGGAUGAACUUUAGUGGCUGUGGUGCACAACAUGAGGAUAGAGAGAGGUUGAUACACAAUACCUAACUAGAAUACUUGGAGAUGACCUCGUAGGCAGGGACAACUACUUUUGUCUCGAUCAGUGUGAAUAAUUUACAUUUCUAUCAUAUUAUUUUUUUUGUUUUUUAUUUUCUAUUUUUAUAUCUUUAAUAAAUUGUAGUAUUAAUGCAUGCAUUAUGUUAGACUACUCAUUUAUGUGCUUUGAAAAUUGUUUGAGUCAACCAACAUGUUAACUUUGUUCUUGUUCUAUCACUUUGCAUAACUAAACAUGAAAGAAAAUAGGACAAUAAGUUGUGUCGUUGUCUAUGAUUAAACUUGCUAGUUUGUGCAACCAUUUGUUAUGUGUGACUGUUGUGUGAUUAAUGUACUGCAUGAGUGAAGACUCAUGAAAUUAUGUUAGCUCGCACUUUGUUAGAACUUUUGAGUUUAUUUGUGUCUCUAAUUGUCUUGGUAAAUGUGAUGCAUUGAAAUAAUCAAUCUAGUUUAUAUCAUGACAACCCGAUUAGGCCAAAUUUAAUAAUAUCCCUUCAUGAUUUAUCCUUUUCUCUCCUAUUGAGAAUUAUCAUUCCUAUUAGGUUAAGAGAGCGUUUAUUGUGUAACAUCCAAGUUGGAGCGGGUGAAUCAAAUGUUGAAUAGUAAUCAUAAUGAGGUACUAAAUAUCCAUUCAUUCUUAUAAAAAAAAAUCAAAACUUCUAAAAAAAGGGAGAGAUAAAAAGAAUAAUAGAUAGAAAAAGGUAAUAAAAUAAUUGUACAAAAUUUAGGUAAUCGUAAAAUGAGUUUGAAAUGUUGAGAGUGAAAAGAUACAUCAUAACCUCUCAACUCCAUAGGAACUUCAAUAUUUUAAAAUCAUGAUCUUUGUAGCCCAACCUCAUUACAACCUAAAGAAAGACAUUAUUGAUCCACGCUAAGAAUUUAUCAUUGAUAUGGUAGGAGACAGAUACCAAAUUUGAGAGAAACAAUUUCCAUUUUGAUACACAUGAGAGAAACACUUUCCAAGUCUAGUCGUUUUAUUCUUAGUACCUACAGACUAUAAAAAGUCCUCAUCCUCAUUUUAAGGGAUGUCAGGUACUAUCUCUACAACUAAUAAAAUAAUAUAAAAAAUAAAAAUCAUGUAGAAUGCAACAUAUCCAAGGUUUUAAAUUUAGGCCUACAACCACAAUUGUCAUUGCAACAUUGAGGUUUUGUAGGUCUUGAGAGUUUCUGUGAUCACAUUGGCAUAUAUUUCCGUAAUGAUCCACAAUAUUAAAGUAUUGGAUAUUUUCACAAUUGCUACUGCGACCAUGAGUUAAAACAUUGAAUUGAUUGCAAAUAAAACAUCUAGAUUGAUUUUGCAGCUGUACAAGUAGGAGUUUUCCCUGAAAUUUUAGGGUUGACAUUAGCGCAUAUAGCAAUUGCUAGAGCUCUGUUGUAUGUGAGGUUAAUUUCACUGAGCUCCACGCCUUGAUAUGGUACACUUCUACUACAUAGAAGUAUCACCCCUUCCUUAGUUGUUGAAGUCACCUUGAUGUUUUUAAAGGAGACCUUGGUUAUCUUAACUUUGUCAGUCAUUUGGAAGCUUUGGGAUUUGAUGUUUCCCUCGUUACCACCGAGUGGUUCUGUUGGAAUUUUCUAGAAUGAUGUUUUGUAGUGAAAAGAAAAAACUCAUUAGUCCCACUUUGCUUGGAGGAGGGAAGUUGAAGGACUUUAUAAGCCUUAAGUUGCGGCCCAACAUUUUUUUAAUAAAUUAUUUAUUUAUAAAUUAAUUUAUUUCAUUUUUUGGGCAUUUUGGGCUUGGAGCGUGUGUUGACCAAGUCAACACACACAUGCAAUAAGGAAAGAGUCGUUGGAGGAGAUCUCGAUCAUUAUGAUAGAGCCGUUGGUAAUAGAUCUGUUGGUAAUUGAGUUAUUGGUGAAAGUGUCGUUGGAGGCCUCAGGCUAUAAAUAGAGGCCUCCUUCCCUGAAUAUAAUUCACAACAAGUUCAAGGAGUUUACUUUUCAACUUCUCUUUCUCCCCCCUUAUAUUCCGCUGACACAUUUCUGACAACCUUCUUCCUCUUUCUUUCCAUGACAUUAUUAGAUAAUAUUAUUGGACUGGACAUCUAUGACCUAAACAAGCCAUUUCAAUUUGACGGGACAUAUUUCAAAUGUUGGCAUUAUAAGAUGCAAUUUUUCCUUACUGUGAGAAAGGUUGCCCACAUUCUGAAAACCGACAUUCCAGUGGUGUCGAAUGAGGCUGAUAAGUACGAAGGCAAAACAUUAUGACACUACAUUAAUCCUAAAUUUAUUUAUGUUUGAUGAUUACUAUAUCAAAAUGCUUACGACCAUGUACCCAAAUAAAUAUGCUUAUGACCAGUUUACGUACAAUGCUUGAUUUGAUGACUAGUACUGUAAUAUACACUUUGUGGAAGAGAACAAGAAGGUUGUAUGACAAUAGUAAUUAGCAUAAAUUUUAUUUAAUUUGAAAGACAUUCUCAAAAUAUUUGGAACAUAGAAGCCUAUAUCUAUAAUAUAACUAACUAUGAUAAUAUAACAACCAUUUGUAGUCGUUUUAUUCUCAGGUCCCUACGGACUACAUAAAGCCCUCAUCCUCAUUUUAAGGGAUGUCACUCUCUGUAAAUAAUAAAAUAAUAUAAACAAAAGAAUAUUUAAAUAUAAUGCCUCAUAUCCAAGGUUUUAUAUUUAGGUUUGCAACCACAAAAGUCACCACAACAUGAUUUUGUAGGUCUUAGGAGUCUUUGUGAUCACAUUGGUCAUAUUUUCCCAUUGAAAUCCACAAUAUUAAAUUUUUUCUGUAGUUUUUUUUUUUUUUUGUAUUUUGCAUAUUGGAAAAUGUCAUAUGAUUGAAGAAUGAGAGUUACCAAAUACCCUUAUGCUCAUAUUGCUUGGGCAACGGGCACGGGCGAGUACGGGUAGUAGCUACCCGCUACCCGUUUCAAAAUAGAAGAGUAUACUCAUACCCGCUCGUACCCGUGAGCGGGUAUUCGCAGGUAUUUCUGGGUACCCGCGGGUUUCCUCUACUAUAAAUAAUUUUUAAAAUUUUUACUUCUAUUGUGUUUCAAAUAAGAUGAAACUUAAUUAUUUUUGUACCUUUUGAUUGAAUAUUUUGAAAAAAAUGCUAAAUUUAUUGGUGGUUUCUAUUUGUGUGAUUUUUUGUUCUCAUUUUUUAACAAAAAAUAUAUAUUUUCUUUGUAAAACAUGUGUGUUUCUACACAUGUAAUAAUAUUUGUAGGGUGUUUCACCACCAAGCUCAAUAAAAUAUGUAAACAAUGUAAAAGAAAAAAAUGUACAUAAUGUAAUAAAUGUUAGAAUAAUGUAUUUUUAUUUUAAUUAAAUAUAAUAUAUUAAUCAUAUAAAUAACGGGUAUCCGCGGGUACAGGUACCAUAAUACUCGUACUCGCCCGUAUAUACUACGGGUAUUUUUAAAAACCUAUUUAUAAUACCUGCGGGUACCCGUUUGUGACCCGUACUCGUGCCCGUACGGGUUUUACCUACGGGUACGGGUUUUUUUGCCAUCCCUAAAUCCAACUUACCUGGUGGGGAUGAACUUUAGUGGUUGUGGUGCACAACAUGGGGAAAGAGAGGGGUUGAUACACAAUACUAACUAGAAUACUUAGAGAUGACCUCAUUGACAGGGGCAACUACUUUUUGUCUCGAUCAGUGUGAAUAAUUUACAAUUAUAUCAUUUUAAUUUUUUUGUUUUUAAUUUACUAUUUUUACUUAUCUUUAAAAAAUUGUGGUACGAAUUCAUGCAUUAUGUUAGACUACUCAUUUAUGUGCAAAUUGUUUGAGUCAACCAACAUGUUAACCUUGUUCUUAUUCUAUCAAUUAGCAUAACUAAACAUGCAAGAAAAUAGGACAAUAAGUUUUGCCAUUGUCUAUGAUUAAACUUGUUAGUUUGUGCAACCAUUUGUUAUGUGUGACUGUUGUGUGAUUAAAGUAAUGCAUGAGUGAAAUUUGAGUGAUACACUCAUGAAAUUAUGUUAGCUCGCACUUUGUUAGCACUUUUGAAAUUGUUUGUGUCUCUAAUUGUAUUGGUAUAUGUGAUGCAUUGAAAUAAUUAAUCUAGUUUAUAUCAUGAGAACCGGAUUAGGCCAAAUUUAAUAAUAUCCUUUCAUGAUUUAUCGUUUGCUCUCCUAUUGAGAAUUAGCAUCUCUUUGGUGAAUUAUAAUGAACCUGAGCAUAAAUAUAUUCAAAGUAAAAGGAAAGAACAUGUUGAUUAUUGAUAAACUUUGUCUUGUUCUACUUUUUGAUGUGUUUAUUUUGAAAUUAGAGCGAAACACUAUUUAUAAUGGAGUUGUGAUGCUUCAAAACCAUUAACAACAUGAGGAACUUAAGUGUGUUCAUGGUUGGAAUUGAUUGAGCCCAUUAUCUAUUAUUAGCAAUUAUAUUAUUAUCACUCAUAUUUAACCAAGAUAUACUAUAAUAAGCUUUAAGAUAAUAUGUUAAACAAUCAUGUUUCUGACAUGAAACAUCAAUCUUGUGUGGUUAAGAAAAGGCUACAUACUACAAUUGACCACUAAAAUACUUAUUGAAUAGAUAUAUCAUAGAUAAUGAANNNNNNNNNNNNNNNNNNNNNNNNNNNNNNNNNNNNNNNNNNNNNNNNNNNNNNNNNNNNNNNNNNNNNNNNNNNNNNNNNNNNNNNNNNNNNNNNNNNNCUAUUUCCCAUUGACCCUUUGGGUUGAGAUAAAAUUCAAUUCAUUUUUUGGGUCUCUCCAAAUCACUACAUUUAUUUUUUCUUUUCAUAAACAUGUAUGUAUACAUAUAUCUGCUCCUUCAACUUGUGCAGACAUUCAUAAUGAAGCAUUACACUCAUCUCAUGACAAGAUUUAAAAUAUCUCUUUCUGUCUCUUUUUAUAUAUCUCUAUCUCACCAUGCAUGCAUAUUCUCUAUCUCUUCCUUAUUCUCCUACUUUCCCUUGUUACGUUCCAACGUUGCAUUCUUAAUGCACCACGAAAACCUUCCAACACAAGAAGCCUCCAUAUCAAAGAUCUNNNNNNNNNNNNNNNNNNNNNNNNNNNNNNNNNNNNNNNNNNNNNNNNNNNNNNNNNNNNNNNNNNNNNNNNNNNNNNNNNNNNNNNNNNNNNNNNNNNNUAAAUUUAUUUAUGUUUGAUGAUUACUAUAUCAAAAUGCUUACGACCAUGUACCCAAAUAAAUAUGCUUAUGACCAGUUUACGUACAAUGCUUGAUUUGAUGACUAGUACUGUAAUAUACACUUUGUGGAAGAGAACAAGAAGGUUGUAUGACAAUAGUAAUUAGCAUAAAUUUUAUUUAAUUUGAAAGACAUUCUCAAAAUAUUUGGAACAUAGAAGCCUAUAUCUAUAAUAUAACUAACUAUGAUAAUAUAACAACCAUUUGUAGUCGUUUUAUUCUCAGGUCCCUACGGACUACAUAAAGCCCUCAUCCUCAUUUUAAGGGAUGUCACUCUCUGUAAAUAAUAAAAUAAUAUAAACAAAAGAAUAUUUAAAUAUAAUGCCUCAUAUCUAAGGUUUUAUAUUUAGGUUUGCAACCACAAAAGUCACCACAACAUGAUUUUGUAGGUCUUAGGAGUCUUUGUGAUCACAUUGGUCAUAUUUUCCCAUUGAAAUCCACAAUAUUAAAUUGUUGAAUAUCUUCGUAAUUGGUACUGCAACCACAAUUUAAAAGAUUGAUUUUGCAGCUGUACAAGUAGGAGCUUUCCCUAAAAUUUUAGGACUGACAUUAGCGCAUACGGCAAUUGCGGGAGCUCCAUUGUAUGUGAGGUUAAUUUCACUAAGUUCCACACCUUGACAUGGUACACUUUUGCUGCAUAGAAGUAUCACCCCUUCCUUAGUUGCUGAAGUGCCCUUGAUGUUUUUAAAGAAGACCUUGCUUAUCUGAAUUUUGGAUGGGCUCUAAAGCAUUACAAGCAUACACAAAUUAGAAGAUUAUAACAUGUAUGUCAUUAGAGGAUUAAAGAGAUCAUAAAGUUUAAUGAAAGGAAUGGAUGAAGUUAUAUCUAAGUUUAUUGAAAUGAAUUAGAUACCUUUUUAGAGCACUCAUUCCAAGGACAAUAUUCUUGGUCUAUAAUGAUUGGGUUGGAAACGUUAACCAUGGUAAUAUCUUCAAAACGCAUAUUAGUGACAGUAAUUGAUACAGGGGAACUAGGCCAACUCUUGAUUCUCACACCAUUAUCUGCAUUUUUUAUAGUGACAUUCUUUACUAGAAAAUCAUCAAGGGGGUCUUCAUUAUCAUACAUCCCAAGGCUUCCAACACUGAUGCCAUGUCCCGGUCCACAUUCAACAUUUUUGACAACUAGACGAGUGUUGCCAUCACCUAACGACACACAAUCAUCUCCGGUAGCAAUUUUGGUGUUAAGAACUUUCACAUCAUUUGAUCUACCAAUGUGGAUCCCAUCAGUGUUGACGCUAUCAUGAGGAGCACUCACCUUGAACCCAUCAAAUGUAAAGUUAUUGCAUGACAAAACAUUGACAUGGAAGUAUUUACUGUCCUUGGAAGUUAUGUCCCGAACGAUGGAAUGAUUUAGGAAAUUAAAACCAAGAUUCUGCACACAAGAAAUUUAAUUCAUUAAAAGUUCUAUUUGGCAACUAUGGAUGUGGGUAUGUUAAAUAAGUAAUUUACCAUUGAACGGCUCGCACAAUUCUUGUUAGAUCCACAACUAUUUUGUUUCCAAGCAAUUGCACCUUGACCAUCAAAAAUACCCUGACCUGAUAAGGUGAAAUGGGAAACAUAUCCAAUAGUAACCCAUUGCUCAGCCCCCUUAAGUUGACUGGGGUCUGCUGGUGCUUNNNNNNNNNNNNNNNNNNNNNNNNNNNNNNNNNNNNNNNNNNNNNNNNNNNNNNNNNNNNNNNNNNNNNNNNNNNNNNNNNNNNNNNNNNNNNNNNNNNNGUUAAAACAUUGAAUUGAUUGCAAAUAAAACAUCUAGAUUGAUUUUGCAGCUGUACAAGUAGGAAUUUUCUCUGAAACUUUAGGGUUGACAUUAGCGCAUACAGCAAUUGCUAGAGCUCCGUUGUAUGUGAGGUUAAUUUCACUGAGCUCCACGCCUUGACAUGGUACACUUCUACUACAUAGAAGUAUCACCCCUUCCUUAGUUGUUGAAGUUCCCUUGAUGUUUUUAAAGGAGACCUUGGUUAUCUUAACUUUGUGAGUCAUUUGGAAGCUUUGGGAUUUGUUGUUUCCCUUGUUACCACCGAGUGGUUCUGUUGGAAUUUGUCGAAAGAAUGGUGUUUUGAAGUUAAAAGAAAAAACUCAUNNNNNNNNNNNNNNNNNNNNNNNNNNNNNNNNNNNNNNNNNNNNNNNNNNNNNNNNNNNNNNNNNNNNNNNNNNNNNNNNNNNNNNNNNNNNNNNNNNNNUGGGCUUGGAUCGUGUGUUGACCAAGUCCACACACACAUGCAAUAAGGAAAGAGUCGUUGGAGGAGAUCUCGGCCAUUAUAAUAGAGUCGUUGGUGAAAGUGUCAUUGGAGGCCUCAGGCUAUAAAUAGAGGCCUCCUUCCCUGAUUAUAAUUCGCAACAAGUUCAAGGAGUUUACCUCUCAACUUCUCUUUCUCUCCCUCCCCCUUAUAUUCCGCUGACACAUUUCUAAUAACCUUCUCCCUCUUUCUUUCCAUGGCGUUUGUAGAUAAUAUUAUUGGACCGGACAGCUAUGAUCUAAACAAGCCAUUUCAGUUUGACGAGACAUGUUUCAAAUGUUGGCAAUAUAAGAUGCAAUNNNNNNNNNNNNNNNNNNNNNNNNNNNNNNNNNNNNNNNNNNNNNNNNNNNNNNNNNNNNNNNNNNNNNNNNNNNNNNNNNNNNNNNNNNNNNNNNNNNNUGACUAUUGAAAUAGCUUUCUGGAAUGAAAGUGAUUACUUAUGUAAGAACUUCAUUCUGAAUGGGUUGUCUGAUGACCUCUAUGAUUACUGCAGCCUAUACAGGUCUGCCAAAUUAAGUUGGUAUGCACUAUGAUACAAGGAAGCUGCCACUAAAAAGUAUGAUGUUAGCCGCUACCUCAAGUAUCAGAUGACUGAUGAUAAAUCAGUAGAGUCUCAGUGCCAAGAGAUACAGAAAAUUGCUCAUGAUAUCAUUUCUGAGGGUAUGUCCCUAGAUCAGCAAUUCCGAGUGGCUGUCAAAAUUGACAAACUGCCUCCUAUAUGGAAGGACUUCGAAAACCUUCUGAGACAUAAGACCAAAGAAAUCUCUUUAGAAUCUCUNNNNNNNNNNNNNNNNNNNNNNNNNNNNNNNNNNNNNNNNNNNNNNNNNNNNNNNNNNNNNNNNNNNNNNNNNNNNNNNNNNNNNNNNNNNNNNNNNNNNAUCUCUGAUCACUCGUCUUCAUAUUGAAGAAGAGGCUGGUAAGCAAGAUCAUAGAGAAGAGGUGUUGAUUGUAUCCAACAAUAGCACUAAGAAGAAUUUUUCAAGUGUGAUUCUGAAGCCUUCUGACACUAAUUUCAAGAAUCAGAACCACAAUGGGAAUAAGGCUAAGAACAUCAGCCGCAACAAGAAUUGGAACCCUCAAAAGGUAUAAUAUGCUAAGCCACCUACUAAGAAUGACUCUGGAAACAUGUUCAUCUGCUUCAAGUGUGGCAAACCAGAUCAAGUAAGACUAAGAUGGCAACUAAGAUGGGGUGAAUUAGGUGUUUAAAAACUAUGACAAAUAUUUAUGCAAAAUUCAAGAGUUAAUAGCAACGGAAAAGUUAUGCAUAAAAUAUCAAGUAAAUUUAAGGAUUUAAGGGAUAAGAGAGUACUCAGAGAUUUUAUACGGGUUCACAUUCUUGUCCACCGAAGGCUACGUCCAGUACUCUUGCAGUACAAGAGAUUUCUUCACUAGAUAUUAAGAGUAGCAAUUACAAAUUCUCACCCAAAGAUUUCCUUUUACCUUACUCACUCUCUAAUACCUAUAUCACUCUUUGGAAAACAACCUUCCCAUGUGACUUUAUCCUCUUUCUUAUCACACCCUUGUGAAAGAAAGUAAUUCAACAAAUUGAAUGAAGAAAACUUUAACUAUGGCAAAAAUUGCCUUUAUAAGAUUUGAAACUAUGACCACUUACAAUCCAAUAACUCCUUAUACACUUUAGUACUAAUGCUCAGAAGGUUUGAAUGACUUUGAAACAACACUUAAGACAACUUCAGAAAAUAUAAUCUGAAAGUUAAGAAUAAGUUCCAAAAAGUGCAGAACAAGUAUUUGAGAAAGUUUAGACCGUGUAUGUCAAGUCAAAACAUAAUAGAAUGAGUGCCACUCUUUUCUCUUUGUGGAACUAAAAUCAAAUAUAUAUUUGGCUCAUCUCAUAGCUUACUUUUCAUUUUUGUAUGAUAAGUGCGAGGGCAAAAUAUUAUGACACUACAUUAAUCAUAAAUUUAUUUAUGUUUGAUGACCAUGUAUCCAAAAAUUUAUUUAUGUCAUAAAUUUAUUUAUGACACUAUAUAAAAAUUCUUAUGACCAUGUAUCCAAAACACAUACUUUGACCAGUUUUCGUACAAAGCUUGAUUUUAUGACUAGUACUGUAGUAUACACUUUGUGGAAGAGAACAAGAAGGCUGCAUGACAAUACAAUCAGCAUAACGAUAAAUUUUAUUUAAUUUGAAAGACAGUCUCAAAACAUUUGAAACAUAGAAGCCUAUAUCUAAAAUACAGCUAACUAUGAUAGUAUAACAACCAUUUCUAGUCGUUUUAUUCUCAGGUCCCUACGGACUAUAAAAAGCCCUCAUCCUCAUUUUAAGGGAUGUCACUCUCUAUAAAUAAUAAAAUAAUAUAAACAAAAGAAUAUUUAAAUAUAAUGCAUCAUAUCCAAGGUUUUAAAUUUCGGUUUGCNCAAUCAGCAUAACGAUAAAUUUUAUUUAAUUUGAAAGACAGUCUUAAAACAUUUGAAACAUAGAAGCCUAUAUCUAAAAUACAACUAACUAUGAUAGUAUAACAACCAGUUCUAGUCGUUUUAUUCUCAGGUCCCUAUGGACUAUAAAAAGCCCUCAUCCUCAUUUUAAGGGAUAUCACUCUCUAUAAUUAAUAAAAUAAUAUAAACAAAAGAAUAUUUAAAUAUAAUGCAUCACAUCCAAGGUUUUAAAUUCCGGUUUGCAACCACAAAAGUCGCCAUAACAUGAUUUCGUAGGUCUUAGGAGUCUUUGUGAUCACAUUGGUCAUAUGUUUCCAUAGUAAUCCACAAUUUUAAAAUGUUGAAUAUCCCCGCAAUUGGUACUGCGACCAUAAUU